UACGUAGGGUGCAAGCGUUAAUCGGAAUUACUGGGCGUAAAGCGUGCGCAGGCGGUUGUGCAAGACCGAUGUGAAAUCCCCCGGGCUUAACCUGGGAACUGCAUUGGUGACUGCACGGCUAGAGUGUGUCAGAGGGGGGGUAGAAUUCCACGUGUAGCAGUGAAAUGCGUAGAGAUGUGGAGGAAUACCGAUGGCGAAGGCAGCCCCCUGGGAUAACACUGACGCUCAUGCACGAAAGCGUGGGGAGCAAACAGG
rnacentral:rRNA from 1 species